rnacentral:rRNA from 1 species
CCUACGGGAGGCAGCAGUGGGGAAUAUUGGACAAUGGGCGAAACCCUGACGCAGCGACGCCGCGUGAAGGAAGAAGGCUUUCGGGUUGUAAACCUCUAUUCUCAGGGACGAAGCAAGUGACGGUACCGGAGGAAUAAGCCACGGCUAACGACGUGCCAGCAGCCGCGGUAAUACGUAGGUGGCAAGCGUUAUCCGGAUUUACUGGGUGUAAAGGGCGUGUAGGCGGGACUGCAAGUCAGAUGUGAAAACCACGGGCUCAACCUGUGGCCUGCAUUUGAAACUGUAGUUCUAGAGUACUGGAGAGGCAGGCGGAAUUCCUAGUGUAGCGGUGAAAUGCGUAGAUAUUAGGAGGAACACCAGUGGCGAAGGCGGUCUGCUGGACAGCAACUGACGCUGAGGCGCGAAAGCGUGGGGAGCAAACAGGAUUAGAUACCCCUGUAGUC